AAAAUUUUAAUACAAUAAAACUCAAGCAAGAUUUUUAUUAAUUCACGAGAUUGAGACUCUCUUUCUGAACGACUCUUGAGGUGAGAACUCCCUCAAACGAGUCCUAAUUUUACAUCAUAGUAAAAAACAAGAAUAACGGCAAGGCUAAGGUUUUAGCGUCUAAAGAUUUCUCCGUUAAUAGACCUGUGACGAGAUCCUACAUUGGGAACUUAACAAUUUGCUAUCAGAGCCGUCCACGAUGAUUGUAGUUUCAAUCGUGCAGCAUAGGUGGUGACGUUGGAAUAGCAACGUUUGCCUAGCUUGUUUGGGUACCGGGGAUGCAAAGCGUAGUGAAAUGUUACGAUCCCAUUGCAAUAAAACUUGUAUCCCACAUUGAAAG
rnacentral:misc_RNA from 1 species